GACGAACGCUGGCGGCGUGCUUAACACAUGCGAGUCGAGCGGUAAGGCCCUUUCGGGGGUACACGAGCGGCGAACGGGUGAGUAACACGUGGGUGACCUGCCCUCAGCACUGGGAUAAGCCUGGGAAACCGGGUCUAAUACUGGAUAUGACUCCAUGACGCAUGUUGUGGGGUGAAAGCCUUGUGCGGCUGAGGAUGGGCCCGCGGCCUAUCAGCUUGUUGGUGGGGUGAUGGCCUACCAAGGCGACGACGGGUAGCCGGCCUGAGAGGGCGACCGGCCACACUGGGACUGAGACACGGCCCAGACUCCUACGGGAGGCAGCAGUGGGGAAUCUUGCGCAAUGGGCGAAAGCCUGACGCAGCGACGCCGCGUGAGGGAUGACGGCCU
rnacentral:rRNA from 1 species